rnacentral:rRNA from 1 species
CCUACGGGCGGCAGCAGUGAGGAAUAUUGGUCAAUGGUCGGGAGACUGAACCAGCCAAGCCGCGUGAGGGAGGAAGGUACAGAGUAUCGUAAACCUCUUUUGUCAGGGAACAAAAGCGGGGACGUGUCCCCGGAUGAGUGUACCUGAAGAAAAAGCAUCGGCUAACUCCGUGCCAGCAGCCGCGGUAAUACGGAGGAUGCGAGCGUUAUCCGGAUUUAUUGGGUUUAAAGGGGGCGCAGGCGGUCUGUUAAGUCAGCGGUAAAAGCCCGGGGCUCAACCCCGGCCCGCCGUUGAAACUGGCAGUCUCGAGUUGGAGAGAAGUAUGCGGAAUGCGCGGUGUAGCGGUGAAAUGCAUAGAUAUCGCGCAGAACUCCGAUUGCGAAGGCAGCAUGCCGGAUCCACACUGACGCUGAGGCACGAAAGCGUGGGUAUCGAACAGGAUUAGAUACCCUUGUAGUC